GAAAAAACCACUCCCAUCCUGUUCUGGAAGCAUCUACCACAAAUGGUCACCGAGAGCAUUACAUGAAAAGGUCCUUAGGAAGCAUCUGGCUGUAGGGCCUGGCGCACAGCCCGCCCAAGGAAAUCCUCCCUGCCUUGCCAACAUCUCGGUCGCUGUCACGCACAUCAGUGAUUCUGCGAGGAAGCGGCAGUGAAGUGGGAGGGAGCAAGUCCUCAGGGCCUGGCUGGGUGGGGCCCGCCCGCGGGGUGGGCCGCUGGGAGGGGCUCAUCUCCAGCCUCCACUGCAGGUACCAGGCGGAGGCUGUCCACCUCCUCCAGCAGAAUGCCUCGGCCGCUGCCAGGGCCUUGCCCGAGGUGCACGUGCUGGCCAACUGCUGCAUCCUCAGGAAAACGUGGCAGGAGCUGAGCCAGCAACAUGUUCCGUGUGCAGACCUGGGCCUGGCUGUGCAAGGCACGAUCCAGCACAUUGAGGACCACAGCCGGGACAACCUCCUGCCUCGAGUCAGGGCCUUGUGCCAGAGUCUGCUAAGGGGCCACUUUGGGAAGAAGGACAAGGAUCUGGUUGGAGCUCUGCAGUCCCUGUGGCAGGGCCUGGAGGGCUGCCCCAACAUGCACUCUACUCCCACGUACAAGAGAAUCAUGCGAAGUUUGCACACGGUGGUCUUUGGGGAGUAUGUCCAGGCCCUGGCCACCCACCUCAGGACGCUGGAGCCUGGGACGUGGGAGGGCCUCGGGGUUCAGGUGGAGACAGACACCAGGAAGUUGCACGACAUCUUCACGAAGCAUGGGGACCAGGAAGCUCUGACCAGCAGUGACGGCCCUGGGGCCUGA
rnacentral:lncRNA from 1 species